CACACCUAGAUAAUAGAUAAACAAUCACUUGGCAAAUAUUGGAGAAGCAAUUGAAACACAAUGCCAUAUAUCUAUGCCCCAGGCUGUAUUUAAAUAGCCCGAGGUGGGAAUAAAGAGGUCUAAAGUGCCUUGAAUAGUUAAAAAGCUCUUUCCAAGAAAGGAUGCAAUCAGUUGUCAGUAGGUGUUCCAAACACAAGAGAAUACCCAGUUUCUAUUGCAUCUGUUUCUUUUGCGUCUGUCCUCUCCCAGCAAGAGCCUCUUCUCCACAAGCACUGGCAACUUCUCUGCCUUCCCACCCCCGUGCUGCUCUUCCAGUCAGCAGCCCGGCUCUGUGCUGGGUAUUCGAACUGCUUGGAAAUCCUCCUGCCUGCACAAGAACAGCCAUAAUGUCCUGCAGAGCUGGCGUGUGUGAUUUCUUGAGAACAGCGGUUGCGUUUCCUCUUCGUAACUCUGUGGUGCCAAUGGGCAUGUGGAAAACCUUGGUAGAAACCAUCCCUUUGGUGUGUGAGGUUGCCACAGCAGGGCUUACUGACAGGGACUUGAAACUUGCCUCCGCUUUACUCUCAGUUCCACAUUUUUGCUGCAACAGUUGUGUCGAGGCCCAGAAUCACUUCACAGGAUGAGGUCUCUUGCAGUGUUUUGUCUGAAUUCACAGGGACCAGAGAGGCCCCUAGGUAGGAUGGUAUUUGUCUUUGCUCAAUAUGUCUUGCUCGAACAGUUAGCAUUGUGUUAAGUGGUAGAAACUUUAGUUAGCUUGAAAGCUGAAGCAUAGACAAAUGGAGUGGGCUGAUUCUAACUGACUCAGCAGCUGUUUUUCAUGGAUAGGUAAAACAAAGUCUUUGUGGGCAGGGUAUUCUUUUGCAUAAUCUGCUAUAGAAGUUCCAGAUGUUUUUUCUUUGCAGUGUUUCUUUGCAGAUGUUAUUUUUUUCUCGCAUUUCUUCCUAUUUCUAUACAAAGAAAGAUUUUUGCUGAAUUGUUCUGAGCAUUUUAAAUCUGUUGUACAUGCUCACCAAAUACUCCUUUUUUGUUGUUGUUUGUCGGGGGACUGUUGUCAUGCAUCCCAGAACAGGUUUGGAUCCAUCCAGAGUCAUGCUUCUGAAUAACUGUAACGGUGGAGAUGUGACUGUGCCUUACCACUGCCUAUGUAGUAAAGAAGGAAUAUCCUCAGACUUGGAUCUUUGCAUCCUAAAGCAUGGUAUUGGAGGGGAAUCGUGUGCCAUAUCUUCCUGCUUUCCAAUCCAAGAUGCCAAAGUCUACCGGAGCACACAGUUGACUAGUAUAAAAUGAUACAUGCAGACCAGAAGUGGAAUACAUAUUGAUCAGAAGUUGAGUACGUGCUGACAAACCACCUCAAAAAAAACACAGUAACUCAGUUGGCUGGAUCCAUAUGGAGCUGAUGAACCUCUGAAUGAAUAGUGAAUGGAAAAACUGCUGGAAUCUGCCUUCAGCUUUGUUCCCAGGAUGACCAAUGUAAAAGGCCUAAGAGCAAUACUGCACAGAUGGUGUAAAGAGGGCUCCACCUGAAACCAGAUAUUGAUAUCCUCUUUCUUUGAGCAUGGUGGAGACACCUUCAAAAGUGGGUAAUUAAGAUGAUCCUUAUUUUGAUCUGAGCUUAUCUUCUAGAAAAGGUCCAAGAACAAACAGCCACGAAGACUUUGGUGCCAGCAGGCAGUUGCAGACUAGUAAAAGCUUCAGAUCCGAACAUUACUAGAAGAGAAAUUGACCAGCUGUUAAUAAUUCCCAGAACCCUAUUUCCAGAAAGUAUCAAUUCUCUCCAAGGUCACCUUUUAAGAGGCAGUGAGCUGUGUCGUACUGUUUGAAGGAUCCUGAAAACUUGCUGCUGAACAGCAUUCAGUGUGGCAAAGGAGUAGAAAAUGUCUUCUCUUACCUGCUGACAGUUGAGUGACCCAGCUGUAACUCCUUCCUUGCUGCUGCUCCUACUACACUGACAAAGGAGAGGAAACAUUUGCAGCAAGCCCUGCAGCAGAGAAUGGAUCCAUAGGGUACUUGGCUACAUGGUGCUGUCUGGGGCCCAGUUUAACCUCACCUUGUCUUUCCAGCAGUCCCAGAACUCUUGAAAAAUGUGGGUGGAGAUCCAUUACACAUGCUUACUCGCCAUGAAAAACAGUGUGAACAGCCAACACAGACUCCAGGUGGUGGAUCAGCAUUAAUCAUAAUAGACCCAGGGGCAGAGGAUUGGCAGGAUACCACAAGAAAUGGUUGUAUGUCCAUCUCCUUGAACUCUGUGACCUCUGGUGGGGGACAGAGAUAUGAAGGCCGGUGUCGCUGGCUUUGUCUUCUAUUCCAGCUAUCAUAAACCACGAUGUGCUGUACGUAUGUAUCCUUUUGCCUGCAGGAAAGGGGUGUGUGAUGUAAUCCUCUGGUAGUAGAUAUAGGCAUUCUGGACUUUUUUGAGAGCUUUCACAGAAAGAAAGGUAGAAACAUGUCCUUCAAAUUCAGUUGGAUUUACUAGGAGCAGCUUUCAUUUUGUCACAUACCAGCCUAAACGCUCAUGUAGAUGAUAAGCCAGAAAAAUGAAUAUCUCCUCUUUCCUCUCUUCCUCACUUAUCUGUUUGCAUGUAUUUCUUCCUGUCUGACCCAGAAAGAGAAAUGGUGUGGAUGUGGAGAAAUAGAAGCAGGAGCGUUCAGCACAGUGGUGGUGUGCUCACAACAGGCCAGUUGUGUGAGAUAUGCAAGCCUUGUACCAACUAGCAAGAGAAGAAGUGUGGGCUUGUGGUCGGCAUUGUGGCCGAGCUGUAGCUGGUAGAGCAGCUGCAGAGGCAGCCGGGCCGAGCUGGCUGUGAGGAGAUGGGGAAGUAGAUGGGCUCUGGCCAGUGCCCAUCCCUCCCCCUUCCCUCCACACAGAGUUGUGCAGGGAGCUCUUUUGUUCAGAGGAUGUUAGGACACAAGCGGUGCCUCCUCUGAACCACAGAGAGGAACAGCUACCAGAGUUGCUGAAAUGGGGACUGCUAGAUACUGUGACAGCUUGCUGCAGUUCUGGAGGAUUUUCUGCGCCCCAUCCUCUUUCACUGGAGCUCCAGCUCCAUCUUCCCACUCCCCACAGCCCUUUCACUUCCUAUGUGCUCCAAGUCUAUUCUGUUUUAUCUUUAGUUCUCCUAGCCUGUGUCUCCUUACAUCUUUCCAUAUUAAUCCCUUCUCUCUUUUCCCUGUCAGGAAAAAAACAAACAAACAAACAAACCAAGAGUGGAACUCUUUCCAGGUUCUGUUUCCAGGUUGUUUCUGUUGAACACGUUUGCAUGUUGGGUUACUGCAUUUCCUCCAGCCUCCAUCGCUCUUUGUUUUGCCUGUGAGAGCUCCAGGCAGGGGCUGGCUGCAGCUCGGUGUGUACAGAGCCUACUGAGGCUGAAGGCGCUCCGUUCUCAGUAGUCCUUAGGCACUGAUGUUGUAAGCAGAAUUAAUAGUGAUUUGACUGGAUGCAAUUGCCAGUGUGGCCACAGACUUACAAUGUAACUGUGGGAAAAUGAGUCUCUUGGUGUCUCUGAUCGCUAUCUGUAAAAUAAUACUUUCCUUCCAGCCUUUAAGUAAGAAUACCUGGUUAAAACUAAAUUGGAUUUUUAAAUCUCUUCCACCGUUAUUAAUCUUUUGUGUGAUUAGCAAGGCAAGUUAGCUAUGCAGUUGCUUUUAAAUGGUAAAUUUCAGUCUUACCUGUCUGCUUCUCAGAUAUUCUGUGUUGCCAGCAUGUGAUGUGUACUGAUUUGCAGUUCAUGUGUCCAUGUGUGUACACAACAUGCUUACGUCAGCUACCUUACUGCUCCUCCUUUUGAGGAUCCCUCUGGAAAACUGCAAGAAUAAGGCAUCUCAGAAAAGACUCUUGCAAGCUUUGUGUCUUUCUACCAACUUGAGUCUGCUGUAGCUGCACAAGGAGGGAAAGUAUAACAGUGAAGACACAUGUAUCUGUGCGUUCACAUGACUGGCACAUUUGUAAACUAGAAAGGAGACAACAGUCAGAGCUUAUUGCUACUGCGUGCUAUCACUCAACAGCGUUACUCAUGUGGAACAGUGCGAUGAGUGCAGGGCAAUGUGUGCUAAAAUCCUACUUACAUAUCUCAUGGAAAUAAAAUAUGUGCUAUUAAUUAUGAAUCACAAAUAUAUUUUAAGAUCCUCUGAUUAAAGGCAGUAUUGAAAUAUAAAGCAUUACAACAGAACUGUGCUAAUUUGCAUGGUUGACUGGGAGACCCUUUGUGGUUGAAUUAAUUUUGCAAUUUAGUAAGUUAACAUACACAGUACAGCAAAGCUCAUGCAUUACAAAUUGCAAUUAUUCAGUGUAUUUUGACAACAGUAUCUCUAUUUUAGUUAUUUACAAUGCUUAAUGACUUCCUAGUGGUUGCUCAAUAGCAUCUCUUUUAUGAAAAUCAAUGACAUCUUAUUCAGACAGUCAGAAAGGGGUCAGGCAUAUGGGGAUGCUGGGCAGAGACUAAGGUAGGGGUCCCUUUCUUCUCUCACCUGCACACUGGCUGCUUGCCAGUGCUGUCUAGCUCAGCCUGCUGUCUCUUCUCCAAAGAGCCUAUACAACCAGCACUAGGUCUUGAUUAUGGACUAAAGAGAGAUAUUCUUUGUAUAUAAUGCAUGGCGUACAGAUUAGUGUGACCCAUACAAUGGUUUUGUUGGUACGUGCUUGUUAGUGGUCAAAUAAUAGAUGAAAAGAUGCUUUGUCUGUAAAUCUAUGUUUACAAGUUUGGAAAUAUAGUCACCAUAAAGAGCCAGGAUUGAUCCCAGGCAUUGCUGGGAGGUGCAGUUCCUAUAGGUAGGGUAUGAAGGGGACAUGACUGGGGAGCACAGCACUGUGUCCCUGCCAAGGGAGUGGAAUGGACGCCUGGUGCAGCUCAGCACCACUGAUAGAAAUCACUGAGUAAGAAUGUCUUGUUUGUGGAUGUGUUGUUUCCCUGCUCAGGGAAGAAGGAGUGCUCAAGUCUGAAAUACUCCACAUCAGUUCCUAGUGUUUCAGCAAAGAUGUGCCCUCGCAGCCCAGAAAGCCAACUGUAUCCUGGGCUACAUCAAAAGAAGUUUGGCCAACAGGUUGAGUGGGGUGAUCCUGGCCCCCUGCUCUGAGCUGUUGAGACUUCACCUGGAACACUGCAUCCAAGUGUGGAGUCCUUGGUACAGGAGAGACUUGUUGGAGCGUGCCCAGAGGAGGGCCACAAAAGUGACCCAAGGGAUGGAACACCUCUUCUAUGAGGACAUGCUGAGAGAGCUGGGGUUCAGCCUGGAGAAGAGAAGGCUCUGAGUUGACCUGAUAGUGGCCUUUCAGUAUCUACAGGGGAGCUACAAGAAAGAAGGGGACGGACUCUUUAGCAGGAUCAGUGAUAAUAGGACAAGGGAAAAUGGUUUCAAACUAAAAGGAUAGAUUUAAGUUGGAUAUAAGGAAAUAGUCUUUUACAGUGAGAGUGGUGAGGCACUGGCACAGGUUGCCCAGUGAUGUGGGGGAUGCCCCAUCCCUGGAGAUGCUCAAGGUCAGGCUGGACAGGGCUUUGUGCAACCUGAUGUCACUGUAGGUGUCCCUGUUGAUUGCAGGGAAGUUAGUCUAGAUGGCCUUAAAAGGUCCCUUCCAUCUCAAUUGAUUCUGUGAUUCUAAAGUAAAAGUGAGGAUCUUUGGUAUUUGACAAAUGGUAUUUGCUCAAAUGACACAAAUAGUCAGUCUUUCAGAGGAUACAAUUUUAAAUAUCAAAUUGUUUGUUGUACAGGUGUUAGUAUUUAAAAUACUUGCUGCUAAGUAAAAAAUACCUUACAACCUAGCAACCCAAUGAGCAAGAUCUCCUAAAGUUGUGAUAAGACUCUACCUCAUGUAGUUCCCCUUUUUGGCCCGAUGGAUCUGAAAUUUGCACUCUCAAAAUUAACAGGAAACCAUCUGGAUUUUCUUUGAGCUCAGCACAUGAGAUUAUAUCCCUUUUUUUUUCUGACCAGCAGCAUCAUCUCUCCAGCCCCUCUCACCAACACCUCUGGCAGAAAUGCAUUUUGAAGCUCUUUCUAUUCCAGGCAACCCAGGCAUGUGUUUUGUAAAAGUGCCAAAGCCAAUAGUUUCUGCUGUUUUCAGGGUGCUGGUGGUAGAGAAUAUUCUCUCAUAGCUUAAUGCUUCACCUGGCAUUUGAUACACAGGGCUCAGCGUUGUGAUAAGCAGUAUUUUGUUGGUUUCCUGGUACAGUGCAGGUGCCACAGGCCAUUGAACAAGUCCUUGCUCUUGCUGGACGGAUGUCUCUUUUUUCAAAGGGAAUUCCCAACCCUUUCUGCUCUGCCCAGGUGCCUGUGCUGCUGCACUAUUCCUCCUUCCACCCACAGGGAAGUCAGCACUUCCCUCAGUGCUGGGCUUGGCCUGAGGCCUACAUCACUGCUCUCACCUUGUCUUGACUAAAAGCAAAGCUUGUCCACAGCCAGUAUAAAUAUAGAUUAGGAAAUAAAGCACAGCUAUGUUCAUCAUUUCAAUCUGCAGGCUCAGCAAGGCCCUCAAUCAAGUUAGGUCUAGUACUAAUUCAUUGGGAGACCAUACGCGCUAACACAAUCCAUGUGGGUGUACCCAUCUUCUACCAAGGCACCAUCCACCAUGCUCCACCAUCUCAGGUGGUCUGUCGCCAUGGAGCCUCUGCUGUGAAGAUAAGAAGACUUGAAAAAGAUCCAUAAGACUAGGAACAACAAGAAAAAAAAUUUAGAGAUGAGUGUGUCUGAGCUUACUGUGUAUGAGACUCCUGACACACUACAUGGCCCAAGCCCUAGCCACUUCUGGGGGCACCAGAGAGCAGUCGUGACUUGGAAGCUAAACCUAACCCCAGAGUAGACGUUAGUGCUUUUGCUUCCAGAGGAACCUGGUCUCACUCUCACCUUCUUUCUUGUUAGUACCACUGUUUAUAUUUUGGGGUGUAUGAAGGGGAACAGUCGGUAUCUUGUUUUACUUUAGUCUGAGGAAAAUCUAUUUCAGUGCCUGAGGAAGGAACUGCUGGCUGCAGGUGUUCACCAAAGAUGUGUUCCUCUUUGCCCCUGUGCUCCUGGAGGGGAAUUCAGCAAAAAGGACCCACAUGUGGAGCCCAGUCCCUGACUUCCCCAAAGCUAUAUAAACACAGCAGAAAUGCCAAUGGGUCCCGGUGACCUGAGGGUGUGCCCAGAGCCUGGGGCAGAGAUACCAAAACUGGCAACCAUGGGGCCUCCAGCUGCAGGCAGCAUGGCUGUGCUGUGUGUGUGGCCUGGCUGGGCCACCUCUGGGCCUGCUGGCAUGGCCAGAACAUGGCUGUUGGUACUGGGCCGUCCCUGGGCCAGAGGUGGCUGCACUGCCCUCCUUCACAUGAGAAUGCCGCCUGUGUCGUUUCUCGAUUCAUUUCUGCCUUCCUUUCUAUAUGUUUAGGCAACUGAAACAGUGUGAAAGGUGAAGGCAGUGUUGAUAGGAGAUGUUUUAUCAGCUGGGGUUUCAAUGCGGUGUCUGAGGGCUCAGGCUGGCACUGUACAUAGUGCUGAGCAGGACUGCUCAGAUUGAUAAUAGAAAAGAACAUGAGAUGAUGCUUUCCAUCUCAGAACUACAAAGUGAGGAAGGUGAGCCUUUCCUUAAUGGCACUGAGGAAUGAUCAUAUGAAAUCACGUGAUCCCCUUUAUGUGACAUGUUUACUCUGUUUUCAAAACCUAGUUUGUGCUGGAUGUUCCUAGUUCACAUGUGAGGAAUCAUUCACAGAAACUUUCAAGGCGAUGAGCAGCAAGUAUCAAUAUGUGAAUAACGAAUGAAUAAUGCAGAGUAGUCUGAGGCACAUUUGUCACUAAUGGCUUGCUAGCAUCUCACAGGCUGUUAUUUGCCCACUUAAACUCUGACCUGGUAAAACCCUUGAACACAUGCAGGAAUAAUUUCACUAAAAAUAUUUUCAUUUACUUUCUUACCAUGUCAGUUGUUCCUGUGAAGACGAUGUGUUUACGCUCAUGCUACGGGCAUUGCAUCGGGCAUCACUCUUUCACAUACUCACAGAAAUGUUUUGUCUGUGGUGAAAUAUGUCACCUCCUUUCUUGAGCUGAAUAUUUCAUUCUGCUCAAUCACAAGUCUAAUACCAGAGUGAAUUAAGUGCAUCAACGGAUCAGGACUGAAAUCUACAAUGAAUGUGAUUACUUAAAAAUAAUCAUAUCAGCAGUAGUUUAGAGAUGUCAUUUUUUGUGGGCAUGUAUGUUCUUUGUAUGGAUAUAUAAAACAGCGUGUGGGAAUGUGAUGCUGUUUAACUCAUAAAGGGAGAGCAAAAUUUUAUUGGUCAGUGUAAAUAUUUGUUCAAGGAAAAGGAGACGAGGUGAGAACAAUCCGCAUGAAAAGAAACCACAUUAGUACCCAGAACAUUGAAAAUAUUGUUCAAGGACAGUUUAUCCUUGUGGAAAAUAUGACCCCCUGUAAAGCUGCUGAGUCUGUUUGCAGAUCAUUUCAAAAUAGAGUCCUCGCAUUUGCCAUUUUAGUUUGUUUUGGCUGUUGGUGUCCAAACUACAUUCCUAGCAAAUUGCAUGAAGUGCUUAUUCCAUUAUUUCUAUUGUUAUGUUUCUCAAUAGAAUGUGGUUAUCUUGAGCUAGUGUCAUGCUUUAGUACAUUAGCACUAAAAUGCGCUGAUGGUCUCGCAAAGAGAGUAAGGGGAGGCUGACAUUGAACUGAUACGCUAUACCUUCUGUCUGGAGAUUCCAAAGUCAGAGGUGGAUUUCAGCUUAAAAUGAAGAAGUAAUAUUUGCAUUUUUUUUUUUGUUUUAAUAAUCUGCUCUCCUCUUAUGAAACCACGACCUGUGCCAGUUCCUAUACAUUCUGCUCAAUCUCUGUCCAGGUGCCUGGAUUAGCUUGAGUGGUCCUAACUGGUUUUUGGAUGAGAGGUGUUUUAAUCUGCUCUGAAUUUAUAUUUUGCACGGCUUCAGUUUUCACAUAAUGAGCCAGCUUUAUCUGUCAUGUGCACAGUUCUGCUUUCUUCACGUCCCAGUUCAUAAUUUUGUUACAUGCCUUUUGUCCAUAGAAAAUAAAGGAAUCGGGGAACUGAAAUUGAAUUAGACCCAAAACGUGCUUGAGUUUCCUGUUUUUCUUGUAUUAAAAUACUUUUUCUAUUGAGACCCAACAUGCAGCAGUUUCCUAACCACAACCACAAGGACUGAGAGAACACGGAGUUUUGUCACACAGCACAGUGUAAGGGGCAGAUCUGAAAGUGGACUGGGG
rnacentral:lncRNA from 1 species